UCGGGAAUAUUGCGCAAUGGAGGAAACUCUGACGCAGUGACGCCGCGUGCAGGAAGAAGGUUUUCGGAUUGUAAACUGCUUUAGACAGGGAAGAAAAUGACAGUACCUGUAGAAUAAGCUCCGGCUAACUACGUGCCAGCAGCCGCGGUAAUACGUAGGGAGCGAGCGUUAUCCGGAUUUAUUGGGUGUAAAGGGUGCGUAGACGGGAAGACAAGUGGCGAAGGCGGCUUACUGGACGGUAACUGACGUUGAGGCUCGAAAGCGUGGGGAGCAAACAGGAUUAGAUACCCUGGUAGU
rnacentral:rRNA from 1 species